GAUCAUGGCUCAGGACGAACGCUGGCGGCGUGCUUAACACAUGCAAGUCGAACGAGAAUCUGUGGAACGAGGAUUCGUCCAAGUGAAGCAGAGGACAGUGGCGGACGGGUGAGUAACGCGUGAGGAACCUGCCUUUCAGAGGGGGACAACAGUUGGAAACGACUGCUAAUACCGCAUAACACAUGGGUGUCGCAUGGCACUGAUGUCAAAGAUUUAUCGCUGAAAGAUGG
rnacentral:rRNA from 1 species